UUACUUACAUGGACGGGGUCGACGGCUGAUCAACAAGGGUCGUGGCCUAGAUCAAUGGCUCACAUGCACUUAGUGAGUGCGUUGGUCUACCAUCUCCCCAAGUGGGUGAGUGGACGUCAUAAUUUGUGGCAGAGGGGGUACACGUCCACGCGGCCCCUA
rnacentral:snRNA from 1 species